UAGCUUUGAAACACCGGUUACCGCACGAUCACCGAAAUUAAGCAACGUUGAGCCUGGUCAGUACCCAGAUGCAUGAGCGAUUGGGAAUAUCAGGUUCUGUAAG